AGGUUCGUGAGUUGCUACAAAGAAAGCUGUCACUACAGAAACUUAGUACCAGCCAUACCAAUAGCACCAGUGCGGGAUCAUCAUCCACACCUCGACUCAAUUUCUUGCCAUGGAUCCGGCGGAGGAAAGCGUACAACGUGUCUGAAGCCAACACUUCCUCAGCAGUUACAGACCGCUCCAACAGCUCAUAUGCCAUUUUGAACACUUAAAACACACUCCAAAAGUGUUUCCUAUACUGCAAUGUCUGUUAGUAUUUGGUGUAAGAAAUGUUUCUAAGUUCUGAUAUGACAGAAAUAAGGUUACAAUAUGACUUUAUACUGUAUUGUAUAUUAUACAGUGGUUAAGGGUGUAGACUUGUAUGUAUACUUGAAAAAUGGGGUAU